GACGAACGCNGGCGGCGUGCUUAACACAUGCAAGUCGAACGAAGAGCGACGGAAGCUUGCUUCUAUCAAUCUUAGUGGCGAACGGGUGAGUAACGCGUAAUCAACCUGCCCUUCAGAGGGGGACAACAGUUGGAAACGACUGCUAAUACCGCAUACGACCUAAUCUCGGCAUCGAGGAUAGAUGAAAGGUGGCCUCUACAUGUAAGCUAUCACUGAAGGAGGGGAUUGCGUCUGAUUAGCUAGUUGGAGGGGUAACGGCCCACCAAGGCGAUGAUCAGUAGCCGGUCUGAGAGGAUGAACGGCCACAUUGGGACUGAGACACGGCCCAGACUCCUACGGGAGGCAGCAGUGGGGAAUCUUCCGCAAUGGACGAAAGUCUGACGGAGCAACGCCGCGUGAGUGAUGACGGCCUUCGGGUUGUAAAGCUCUGUUAAUCGGGACGAAAGGCCUUCUUGCAAAUAGNGAGAAGGAUGA
rnacentral:rRNA from 1 species